UACAGAGGUCUCAAGCGUUGUUCGGAUUCAUUGGGCGUAAAGAGCGUGUAGGCGGCCAGCUAAGUCCGCUGUGAAAUCUCGAGGCUCAACUUCGAGCUGUCGGUGGAAACUGUCUGGCUAGAGUCCGGAAGAGGAGAAUGGAAUUCCUGGUGUAGCGGUGAAAUGCGCAGAUAUCAGGAAGAACACCCGUGGCGAAGGCGGUUCUCUGGGACGGUACUGACGCUGAGACGCGAAAGCGUGGGGAGCGAACAGG
rnacentral:rRNA from 1 species